CGUAGGGUGCAAGCGUUAAUCGGAAUUACUGGGCGUAAAGUGUGCGCAGGCGGUGAUGUAAGACAGAUGUGAAAUCCCCGGGCUCAACCUGGGAACUGCAUUUGUGACUGCAUCGCUGGAGUACGGCAGAGGGGGAUGGAAUUCCGCGUGUAGCAGUGAAAUGCGUAGAUAUGCGGAGGAACACCGAUGGCGAAGGCAAUCCCCUGGGCCUGUACUGACGCUCAUGCACGAAAGCGUGGGGAGCAAACAGGAUUAGAUACCCUGGUAGUCCACGCCCUAAACGAUGUCAACUGGUUGUUGGGUCUUCACUGACUCAGUAACGAAGCUAACGCGUGAAGUUGACCGCCUGGGGAGUACGGCCGCAAGGUUG
rnacentral:rRNA from 1 species